AGGGUAUUUUAUAAGCACGCUCACCUUGCCUCGCCUUGACUUGCACUUGAUUCCUCUCCCUUUGAUAUAUAUUUUUUCUUCUUCCGUAGACGUCGAUGUGUGAGCGAGAGCUAAUCCUGCACAGGCAGACUCAUUCUCACCCAGACCGGAGCACCUCAGCCUUCUGUCUGACAACCAGCAGCUGCAGAAGCGCUGCUCUGACCAAGUGCAACAUCUGGCGGAGGCUGAGAGAGCUAUCCUUCAGAUAAGGACUAAGCUGGAGACACAGUAAUAUCAAGAGUUUACACAACUCCUUGGCUAUAAAUUCCUUUCCACUUCUCCCCCGCGCGCUCUCUUUCUCUAGCGCCACUCUCUCUCUCUCUCUCUUGCUCUGUAUUUCUCAUGUCUCCCUCUUUACUCUCUCUGGAGCACUGUAUCUCUCUUUUUUCCCUGUCCGCACUUUUUUUAAUCCUCAACUUUGCCGGUUCUGUG
rnacentral:lncRNA from 1 species